rnacentral:lncRNA from 1 species
GAAGCCCAAAAGAGUGAACAGAACAACAGGAUACGGAUAAGCCCAUAGGUAGAUGGACUAUAGGAUUUCAAGUUUUGGGGACCAAGAAAUAUAAAGCAAAAGUUUAAACUAAAUUAUUAUGAUUUUUAAAAAAAACGAAAAACAAAAAAACAAGACUUGUAAAACAAAUAAUCAUAUGAAGUUCACGUAGUGUUAGACCCAAAAAAAAAAAAAACAAAAAAGAAGUCCACAAGCAAGAUAUGAAGCACAUAAGAACCAUUUUAUAUUAUGAAAAAAAUUUGAAAACCCAUUCAUGAUACUUUUACUAAAAAUAUAAAUUUUAAAAAACACAAAAUAUAGAAGGAAUUGGGCUACAGCCCAAAAUUGAAAGACAAUUUAUUCAGUAAAGAAGGGUCAAAGCACUUCGUAUUUUCCCAGCAUUUAUAUUUUUUUUAAGGGGAAGGGAUGUAAUAAAUUAUGAGUCCUCCAUUUUUUUUUCUUCCUAUUUUCUUUUUAUACAAGUGAUAUUAGGGUAAGGGGAAUCAAACUUAAGACCUUGAGGAGUGCAUAGUAAAGAUGUCAAAAGGGCUAUGCCAGACCGAACAGGCUGGUUUAGAGUCGACACAAUUAAUAAACGAGUCAAACUAAGUCCAUCCAUUUAUGAAAAUUAUAAGUCUUGCUUGAGUCAACAACCCUAGCCCAUAUAAGACUGGCAUGGGCUUGUGUCAGGCCACGAAACGGGCCGAUACGGGCCCACGCCAAGCUCAACUUAUGUAUUGCAUAUUUUGUAUUCUUUUUCUUACAAAUUCAUUUCAAUCUUUUUAACAGUAGGCUCUGAAGAACAUCAUGACAUAUCCUACCAAGACUUCCAUGAAUGUCAAGUUUCAUAACAUUGUUGCCUUCCG